CCUGGCUCAGGACGAACGCUGGCGGCGUGCUUAACACAUGCAAGUCGAACGGUGAUGUCAGAGCUUGCUCUGGCGGAUCAGUGGCGAACGGGUGAGUAACACGUGAGUAACCUGCCCCCGACUCUGGGAUAACUGCUAGAAAUGGUAGCUAAUACCGGAUAUGACGACUGGCCGCAUGGUCUGGUCGUGGAAAGAAUUUCGGUUGGGGAUGGACUCGCGGCCUAUCAGGUUGUUGGUGAGGUAAUGGCUCACCAAGCCUACGACGGGUAGCCGGCCUGAGAGGGUGACCGGCCACACUGGGACUGAGACACGGCCCAGACUCCUACGGGAGGCAGCAGUGGGGAAUAUUGCACAAUGGGCGCAAGCCUGAUGCAGCAACGCCGCGUGAGGGAUGACGGCCUUCGGGUUGUAAACCUCUUUUAGUAGGGAAGAAGCGAAAGU
rnacentral:rRNA from 2 species